rfam:Gossypium arboreum cultivar AKA8401 contig_48835_1, whole genome shotgun sequence.
AACCCAUGGUGAGGGCACCUUCUCAAUAAAUCCUUAUAUCUUUUCCAUGCAUCAUAUAGGGUCUCUAAGUUCAUCUGUACAAAAGAAGAGAUAUCAGUACAAAGGAA